rnacentral:rRNA from 1 species
UGGGGAAUAUUGCACAAUGGGCGCAAGCCUGAUGCAGCAACGCCGCGUGAACGAUGAAGGUCUUCGGAUCGUAAAGUUCUGUUGCAGGGGAAGAUAAUGACGGUACCCUGUGAGGAAGCCCCGGCUAACUACGUGCCAGCGGCCGCGGUAAUACGUAGGGGGCUAGCGUUAUCCGGAUUUACUGGGCGUAAAGGGUGCGUAGGUGGUCUUUCAAGUCGGUGGUUAAAGGCUACGGCUCAACCGUAGUUAGCCUCCGAAACUGGAAGACUUGAGUGCAGGAGAGGAAAGUGGAAUUCCCAGUGUAGCGGUGAAAUGCGUAGAUAUUGGGAGGAACACCAGUAGCGAAGGCGGCUUUCUGGACUGCAACUGACACUGAGGCACGAAAGCGUGGGUAGCAAACAGG